CGGGUGAGUAACGCGUGAGGAACCUGCCUCAAAGAAGGGGGACAACAGUUGGAAACGACUGCUAAUACCGCAUAAGCCCACGGCUCGGCAUCGAGCAGAGGGAAAAGGAGCAAUCCGCUUUGAGAUGGCCUCGCGUCCAAUUAGCUAGUUGGUGAGGUAAUGGCCCACCAAGGCGACGAUCGGUAGCCGGACUGAGAGGUUGAACGGCCACAUUGGGACUGAGACACGGCCCAG
rnacentral:rRNA from 1 species